rnacentral:rRNA from 1 species
UACAGAGGGUGCGAGCGUUGUUCGGAAUUACUGGGCGUAAAGCGCGCGCAGGCGGCUCUUUAAGUUUAUGGGUCAAGGCCCGGGGCUCAACCUCGCGGUCGCCCGGGAUACUGGAGAGCUAGGGACAUGUAGGGGCGAGCGGAAUUCCGGGUGUAGCGGUGGAAUGCGUAGAGAUCCGGAAGAACACCGGGGGCGAAGGCGGCUCGCUGGGCAUGGUCCGACGCUGAGGCGCGAAAGCGUGGGGAGCGAACAGG